UGCCCAGCAACUCCUAUCCCUACCUCCUCGUGGUACUGGCCGGGGUACGAGUAACCUUGGGGAAGAUCGGGUAACCAACCCCCGGUGGGAACUUUGGUAGUAUGCUGACAGGGAAGG
rnacentral:ribozyme from 1 species